UACGUAGGGUGCAAGCGUUAAUCGGAAUUACUGGGCGUAAAGCGUGCGCAGGCGGUUUUGUAAGUCAGAUGUGAAAUCCCCGGGCUUAACCUGGGAACUGCGUUUGAAACUACAAGGCUAGAGUGUGGCAGAGGGGGGUGGAAUUCCACGUGUAGCAGUGAAAUGCGUAGAGAUGUGGAGGAACACCGAUGGCGAAGGCAGCCCCCUGGGUUAACACUGACGCUCAGGCACGAAAGCGUGGGGAGCAAACCGG
rnacentral:rRNA from 1 species